UAUUGUAAGUAAUAAUAGUAAGUAUAUACAAUGUACGUCAGAGCAGCAAUCAUCUUGUCAUUUGCAAUAAAGAGGGAAGUGCGAUUGCAACCAAGUAACUAAUAUAAUAUAUUUCUCCACUGUACAGCAUGCUGGAGAUCUGAGAAUGUGAUCCAAGAUUGCAGAGUGCAGUUGAACUGCUGCCCAUGAUGAUGACAAGACUGCAAACUAAAGGGAGGGAAGAUUACAUUCAGGAGGCAGCACUGGAGGAGAACAUAAAGAAGGGGUAGAGAUAACACCAGAGGAGCUCAGUAUUAUCAAAGCCUGCUGGAGGAGCACAAAGCCACUACCGAGGAAGACAGGGGCGAGAACCAAGGUCAGAUCCGUCCAACAUCGCGCACCUCCAUACAUCACGAGGAGCUUUCGCUUAGGGUGGCAAAAGUCCUUGCACCAAGCCCGCAUAUUGCUUUAGUGUGUUAAAGAAGAUGGAAUGUGGCAUUUGUUAAACUAUAUCAUUAUCUAACCUGUUGUUUUUUGCUUUUUCGGUGACCUCAUCCCCAGAAAGAAUAGAUUAAAAAGUAAUUAAAAAGUUGUUGGUAACUCAAAAUUCAGUAAUUAAAAUUACAGCUUAACCCACAAAAAAGCUUAUUUUUCCCCCAUAAUGUAUCAUAUGGUAAAAUAAAGGGUGUAAUUAAAAAGUAAAACUUGUCCUACAAAUAAUAAGCCCUCAUACCGCUGGGUCAAUGGAAAAAUAAAAAAGCUAUGGCUCUUCGAAUGUGAGGGGGUAAAAAGAAACCAAAUAAAGACUGGCUGC